UACGGGGGGGGCAAGCGUUGUUCGGAAUUACUGGGCGUAAAGGGCUCGUAGGCGGCCAGCUAAGUCAGACGUGAAAUCCCUCGGCUUAACCCGGGAACUGCCUCUGAUACUGGAUGGCUUGAGAUUGGGAGAGGGAUGCGGAAUUCCAGGUGUAGCGGUGAAAUGCGUAGAUAUCUGGAGGAACACCGGUGGCGAAGGCGGCAUCCUGGACCAACACUGACGCUGAGGAGCGAAAGCCAGGGGAGCAAACGGG
rnacentral:rRNA from 1 species